UUUUUCGAGUUUUUUAAUUUGGAACAAUGACCCAUAUAAUUGACUAUAUUAAUCCGACCUCAGCAACGUUCGCAUGUGAUCCUCCCAAGAGAUUUUGUCAAUACAGAUCACCAUAAUAUCUACAAAACAACUGCAGCGAAUGAGCAAGGGCACAAGGAAAAAGAUGCUGGGAUAAUGCAAAGACAUACAGAGGUGGGAUGUUGUAAAAGAACAAAAGAACAUAAUAUGUAGCACAUGAUAAAAGAAUUAUCCCCUAGGUUGCUCCGGCAAAUCAAAGGACUCGGUUGUGUAGAAUUAAGUUCAAGUAAAAGAAACUUUUCUUUUCAUGUCAAAGUUAACAACCUUAUCCAAAUUUUUAAAAAAAUAUGGAAAAUAAAUAUGUGAAUUCAUAUGUCAACAUUGUGCAUUUGUGCAAAAGUUUCAAGAGUUUAGGGUUUAAAAAAGGACAAAAAAGAAGAAAAUGAAAGUUAAAAGAACAAAAGAACAUAAUAUGUAGCACAUGAUAAAAGAAUUAUCCCCUAGGUUGCUCCGGCAAAUCAAAGGACUCGGUUGUGUAGAAUUAAGUUCAAGUAAAAGAAACUUUUCUUUUCAUGUCAAAGUUAACAACCUUAUCCAAAUU
rnacentral:lncRNA from 1 species